AGUGAACGCUGGCGGUAGGCCUAACACAUGCAAGUCGAACGGCAGCACAGUAAGAGCUUGCUCUUACGGGUGGCGAGUGGCGGACGGGUGAGGAAUACAUCGGAAUCUACUUUUUCGUGGGGGAUAACGUAGGGAAACUUACGCUAAUACCGCAUACGACCUACGGGUGAAAGCAGGGGAUCUUCGGACCUUGCGCGAUUGAAUGAGCCGAUGUCGGAUUAGCUAGUUGGCGGGGUAAAGGCCCACCAAGGCGACGAUCCGUAGCUGGUCUGAGAGGAUGGUCAGCCACACUGGAACUGGGACACGGUCCAGACUCCUGCGGGAGGCCGCAGUGGGGAAUAUUGGACAAUGGGCGCAAGCCUGAUCCAGCCAUACCGCGUGGGUGAAGAAGGCCUUCGGGUUGUAAAGCCCUUUUGUUGGGAAAGAAAAGCAGCAGGUUAAUACCCCGCUGUUCUGACGGUACCCAAAGAAUAAGCACCGGCUAACUUCGUG
rnacentral:rRNA from 1 species